rnacentral:lncRNA from 1 species
AGAAGAUGAAUUACGUGAUAUGCUAGUGAACGGUCAUAGACGGCCCCGUCAGCGCCGCAGAAGAGUGUUUCGACCACGAAUUAACCUGGAGUGGCCGAUGGAAGGACAAUUUCGCGAACGGUUCAGGGUCGACUCGGGCACGGCAACCGAUAUCGAAGCCAGGGUUGGCCCUGCCCUUCAGCAUCCAUCCGGCCGGAACAUGGCUCUAACGCCGCGCCAGCAGCUUCUUAUCGCACUUCGGUUCUUCGCAACCGGUGCAUUCUACAUAAUUGUUGGUGAUGGCCACGGUCCGUCGACGGCUACAGUAGGCCGCGUCAUCAAACGUGUCGUGCUGUCCAUCCUUGCGGCUUUCGCCGGAGUCGUUAGAUGGCCGUCAGCUGCUGAGGAGCUGCAAAACAUCCAACAGCGGUUUUCUCGGAUCGGCGGGAUUCCCAAUGUCGUUGGUUGCGUGGAUGGCACUCAUCUCAGGCUCCAAGUGCCAAAGAACAAAAAAGACCUCUACAUGAACAGGAAGGGAUAUACUUCGGUCAACUGCAUGGCCGUUGCAGGACCGGACCGGCAAUUUUUCGCUGCCAGCGUGCAGUGUUCCGGCCGCGUGCACGACGCCAGAGUGUUGACAACAUCAGGCCUAGACGAAUAGUACAACCGUGCGCACGCGGCUACGAGAGUGCUGGUGGAGAAUGCGUUUGGGGUUUUGAAGCGACGCUUCCCAGGGCUGGACACGGGCCUCCGCAUGCGGCGAAUCGCAGACAGCGUCCGUGCAUUCCGAGCAAUGAUCGUGCUCCAUAACAUCUGCAUCGCUCAUGGUGACCUGGGUAACUGGCUGGAUGAUGAACUGCAGGAGGAGCCGCACCUUCAAGGCGCGGAAGUUGAAGCGGAAAUCCCCGCCGAGGCCGUCCAGAGACGAGAAGGACGCAUGCGUAGGAGCGCUCUCAUCCGUUUGUUCCAGUAAAUGCCUUCCAGCACUUCAGGUUGUGCUGUGUUGAUUGCAAGGAUGCUGAAACUGUUUGUUUGAUUAGUGUAUAUAUUAAGCUCAAGGACAUCACCAUACAAGUGACGUUAGUUUGGUAAUUGCCAACGUUCGAGAAAACUCUUAACGCCAGAGUAUUCCGACAACCUGAAAGGAAAUGCAAGACGUAGAUGCGCAGGAGCGCAGUAACCAUCCGUCCAUUUCAGUGACAGUCUUACUGUGUGCUUCAAUUUGUGCUGUGCUCAUUGUACAGAAUG